AAGGUCUGGCCUGAAGUUACUGAUCCAGAGAAGUUUGUGUUUGAAGAUGUUGCCAUUGCUACAUAUUUGUUGAUCUUAUGGGGUGAAGAGCGUGCUGAAAAGGGAACAACAACCAAACAGUCCUUUGUGGAUCUUGGCUGUGGAAAUGGCCUCCUAGUUCACAUAUUGAACAAUGAAGGGCAUCCUGGAAAGGGCAUGGACAUUCGCAAAAGAAAGAUCUGGGACAUGUAUGGGCCUGGUACUCAUCUAGAGGUAAGA